CAGCCGCCGCGGGAAUACAGAGGGUGCGAGCGUUAAUCGGAUUUACUGGGCGUAAAGCGUGCGUAGGCGGCUUUUUAAGUCGGAUGUGAAAUCCCUGAGCUUAACUUAGGAAUUGCAUUCGAUACUGGGAAGCUAGAGUAUGGGAGAGGAUGGUAGAAUUCCAGGUGUAGCGGUGAAAUGCGUAGAGAUCUGGAGGAAUACCGAUGGCGAAGGCAGCCAUCUGGCCUAAUACUGACGCUGAGGUACGAAAGCAUGGGGAGCAAACAGGAUUAGAUACCCCAGUAGUCCUGUCUCUUAUACA
rnacentral:rRNA from 1 species